GAUAACAAAGGGUUUUGAACUCGGUAGUCAUGUUGUGUGAUUUUUCUUUCUCUUUUUCUCGUGCAUCACGUAUACCUGGGGGUUAAUUUCACUCUUUUUGACUCUUUUUCUACUCAAAUUUUCCGAGCAUUCUAUAUCUGUUAGAGUCUUAGGUCUCGGCAAGUGCAUUUUUCUCUUUUGUUUUUCUUUUCUUUUUUUUUCUUUUUUCUUUCUCUUUUUUUUUCAUUUAAAGAAAAU
rnacentral:lncRNA from 1 species